AUUGAACGCUGGCGGCAUGCUUUACACAUGCAAGUCGAACGGUAACAGGCCGCAAGGUGCUGACGAGUGGCGAACGGGUGAGUAAUGCAUCGGAACGCGCCCAGUCGUGGGGGAUAACUACUCGAAAGAGUAGCUAAUACCGCAUACGAUCUAUGGAUGAAAGCGGGGGACCGUAAGGCCUCGCGCGAUUGGAGCGGCCGAUGUCAGAUUAGGUAGUUGGUGGGGUAAAGGCUCACCAAGCCAACGAUCUGUAGCUGGUCUGAGAGGACGACCAGCCACACUGGGACUGAGGCACGGCCCAGACUCCUACGGGAGGCAGCAGUGGGGAAUUUUGGACAAUGGGCGCAAGCCUGAUCCAGCAAUGCCGCGUGCAGGAAGAUGGCCUUCGGGUUGUAAACUGCUUUUGUACGGAACGAAACGGCUCUGGUUAAUACCCGGGGCUAAUGACGGUACCGUAAGAAUAAGCACCGGCUAACUACGUG
rnacentral:rRNA from 1 species